rnacentral:rRNA from 1 species
UAACACGUGGGAACGUGCCUUUAGGUUCGGAAUAACUCAGGGAAACUUGUGCUAAUACCGAAUGUGCCCUUCGGGGGAAAGAUUUAUCGCCUUUAGAGCGGCCCGCGUCUGAUUAGCUAGUUGGUAGUGUAAUGGACUACCAAGGCGACGAUCAGUAGCUGGUCUGAGAGGAUGAUCAGCCACAUUGGGACUGAGACACGGCCCAAACUCCUACGGGAGGCAGCAGUGGGGAAUCUUGCGCAAUGGGCGAAAGCCUGACGCAGCCAUGCCGCGUGAAUGAUGAAGGUCUUAGGAUUGUAAAAUUCUUUCACCGGGGACGAUAAUGACGGUACCCGGAGAAGAAGCCCCGGCUAACUUCGUGCCAGCAGCCGCGGUAAUACGAAGGGGGCUAGCGUUGCUCGGAAUUACUGGGCGUAAAGGGAGCGUAGGCGGACAUUUAAGUCAGGGGUGAAAUCCCGGGGCUCAACCUCGGAAUUGCCUUUGAUACUGGGUGUCUUGAGUAUGAGAGAGGUGUGUGGAACUCCGAGUGUAGAGGUGAAAUUCGUAGAUAUUCGGAAGAACACCAGUGGCGAAGGCGACACACUGGCUCAUUACUGACGCUGAGGCUCGAAAGCGUGGGGAGCAAACAGGAUUAGAUACCCUGGUAGUCCACGCCGUAAACGAUGAUUGCUAGUUGUCGGGAUGCAUGCAUUUCGG